rnacentral:rRNA from 1 species
UGGGGAAUAUUGCACAAUGGGCGCAAGCCUGAUGCAGCCAUGCCGCGUGUAUGAAGAAGGCCUUCGGGUUGUAAAGUACUUUCAGUCGGGAGGAAGGUGGUAAGGUUAAUAACCUUAUCAAUUGACGUUACCGACAGAAGAAGCACCGGCUAACUCCGUGCCAGCAGCCGCGGUAAUACGGAGGGUGCAAGCGUUAAUCGGAAUUACUGGGCGUAAAGCGCACGCAGGCGGUUGAUUGAGUCAGAUGUGAAAUCCCCGGGCUUAACCCGGGAAGUGCAUCUUAAACUGGUCAGCUAGAGUCUUGUAGAGUGGGGCAGAAUUCCAUGUGUAGCGGUGAAAUGCGUAGAGAUGUGGAGGAAUACCGGUGGCGAAGGCGGCCCCCUGGACAAAGACUGACGCUCAGGUGCGAAAGCAUGGGUAGCAAACAGG